rnacentral:rRNA from 1 species
ACGGGAGAGUAACACGUGGGAACGUACCCUUCGGUUCGGAACAACCCAGGGAAACUUGGGCUAAUACCGGAUACGUCCGUAAGGAGAAAGAUUCAUCGCCGAAGGAUCGGCCCGCGUCUGAUUAGCUUGUUGGUGAGGUAACGGCUCACCAAGGCGACGAUCAGUAGCUGGUCUGAGAGGAUGAUCAGCCUCACUGGGACUGAGACACGGCCCAGACUCCUACGGGAGGCAGCAGUGGGGAAUAUUGGACAAUGGGCGCAAGCCUGAUCCAGCCAUGCCGCGUGGGUGAUGAAGGCCCUAGGGUUGUAAAGCCCUUUCGGCGGGGAAGAUAAUGACGGUACCCGCAGAAGAAGCCCCGGCUAACUUCGUGCCAGCAGCCGCGG